GUCCGAUUUGUGAAGUUAAGCGGCCACAGGCCUCGUUAGUACGGCGAUCAGUGAUGGCGCUGGAACCCGGGGUGUUGUCCCUC
rnacentral:rRNA from 1 species